rnacentral:rRNA from 1 species
AGAGAGAGACAUGCGCGCAUAUCAAUAAGCGGAGGAAAAGAAACUAACAAGGAUUCCCUUAGUAACGGCGAGUGAAGCGGGAAGAGCUCAAAUUUGAAAUCUUCAAGGUUCUACCUUGACGAAUUGUAGUUUAUAGAAGUGUUUUCUGUUAGUGGAGUGGCAAAAGUUCUUUGGAAUAGGACAUCAUAGAGGGUGAGAAUCCCGUAUUUGGUCAUUCCUCCUAGCGUUGUGAUACACUUUCAACGAGUCGGAUUGUUUGGGAAUGCAGUCCAAAAUGGGUGGUAAAUUUCAUCUAAAGCUAAAUAUUGGCGAGAGACCGAUAGCGAACAAGUACCGUGAGGGAAAGAUGAAAAGAACUUUGAAAAGAGAGUUAAACAGUACGUGAAAUUGUCAAAAGGGAAGCGUUUGACACCAGUGUUGUUUUUCCGAAAAUCAAUUACGAAUGUUUUGUUUUUGAGGAGUUAUGACUUCAUCGGCUUGCUCCUUUCUUUACUGAAACUUUCUUAAUGCACUUUUCGGUUAACAAGUCAACAUCAAUUUCUUUUGUUGUAAAAGGGUAUGAGGAAGGUGGCUUUCUUUUCGGAGAAAGUGUUUAUAGCCUUGUGCCUCUGCAAUCGGAGAGAUUGAGGUCUGCAGCGUAGAUCCUUCGGGGUUAGAUACAGUUUGUGCUAAGUUAUAGCUUUUCAUAGACAACUUGUUGACUAUGUUUAGUCAUGUAGCUUACUCGCUUAUGCUAUUUUACCUACGCUUAGGAUGUUGAUAGUCACAGCGUGUAC